GGCAAGAUGGCCGAGUGGUUAUGGCGGUAGUCUCAAGUAUAUCUUGCCUUAGAUAACUAAGGUUGCUACUUCCGCAAGGAUCAGGGGUUCGAAUCCCCUUCUUGUCA
rnacentral:tRNA from 1 species